CUGGCCACUAAUGCUCAAGAAGUCUGUUCUUGAGAAACAGUCUUACACUUCUUGUAACAGAAGUGGCAGUCCAAGGGUCUGAGUCUCACAAGUGAAAGUAUGGCUUGCUGAAGAGCACAGCGGUCUUGUGGCCAGGAAAUGGUGUUUUUUCAUGGUGUGAAACACGUGGCUGAUAGCUCAGCUAAAAGAAAAUGGCUUUGCAUUGAGAGGGGCGUUGACACUCCAUGGUGGCGCUGUCUUACACAGUCUUCCUUUCUGGGAAAGCGCUUCUGUCCACUGGCCUGAAAGAUUAAGAAGGGAACCUCAUAUGCCUUUGUAAUCUGAAAGAAAGAGACUUACAUGAGAACAGAUAUAAUAUACUUGCCAGUAACUUUUAAAUUUUGCUGAGGCUUCCUGCUUCCUUUCUAACAUGUAAAAAUGUGGCUUACUUGUAAGCAGUUCAUGGUGAGAAAAUUUAAG
rnacentral:lncRNA from 1 species